rnacentral:rRNA from 1 species
CGACGAAUCUUCCGCAAUGGGCGAAAGCCUGACGGAGCAAUGCCGCGUGUGGGAUGAAGGUCUUCGACGUGUAAACCACUGCAGGGGGCGUAUUCCUCCAGAGGAAGGGCCGGCUAACCCUGUGCCAGCAGCCGCGGUAAGACAGGGGGCCCGAGCGUUACUCGGAAUCACUGGGCUUAAAGGGAGCGUAGGCGGAGUCGUAAGUGCUUCGUGAAAACCCACGGCUUAACCGUGGAACUGCGGGGCAUACUGCGAUUCUUGAGGCAGGUAGGGGCGGAUAGAACUAUCGGUGGAGCGGUGAAAUGCGUAGAUAUCGAUAGGAAUGCCGAUGGCGAAGGCGAUCCGCUGGGCCUGUCCUGACGCUGAGGCUCGAAAGCGUGGGAGCAAACAGGAUUAGAUACCCCAGUAGU